UCUCCCUCUCUCUCUGGCCCUCCCCUGUUCAUGCUCUCUGUCUCAAAAACAAACGUUAAAAAAAAUUUUUUUUUUUUAAAUCAGGUUCCUGUAUUUUAGUCAGUCUAAACCUUAGUCUUAUAAAUUAAGCCAUUUACAUUUAUUGUGAUCAUUGCCACACGUGUAUUUUUGUGUCCCGUGCAUGGUUUUUUGUUUUUAAGAGAGAAAAAACAGAGGAGAUGGGUAGAAGGAGAGAGAGAGAGAGAGACAGAGAGGCCCAAACAGCCUCCGCAUUCAUUGUGGAGCCUGAUGCAGGGCUUGAACCCCACAACUCUGGGAUCAUGACCUGAGCUGAAAUCAAGAGUUGGACACAGAACCAGCUGAGCUAAACCCAUGCUUUCUAAUUACCCUCUUUUCUCUUUUUACCUCCCUCCUACCUCACUGUCUACUUUCCUCAUGCUCCUUUCCACUCAGUCGACGACUUGGAAGUCACACCUUCUGUUUCUAUUCAUUUAGUAAUUUUCAGUGUAGCUUUAACAUGCAUACUUUGCCAAAGUGGAAAGUUGGUGAGACCUCACCCCCGCAUCCACACAAAACAAGCAGCUCGCAAUGGCUCCGUGCCACCACUUCUAACCCGUCUGGGGCCGUCAGCCUGCCCUGCCCCUGACACCACAGCCCCUCCUGCCCAGCAAUCACCACCGUGGUUCCCACGGUGCCAGGCGGCCAGACCCGUACAGGUGUGCCCACUAUGGAUUCGCAUGCACACCACACCUGCUUGCGUCUCGCAGGUCACUUCUGAAGCUCGCUCUGCUUCCUCGGUGGUGCUCGGUUGUGGAGCGGGGGCUACCACCUGCCACUCUGUGCCGUGUCUUCUGGCCGUGGGUCACACGUGGAGGAGUCUGACUGUCUGGCUGUCGCUCCUGGAACGUGCUCCUCUCUCUGCCACUUUCAGUCUCUGGCGUCCCUGCUACAUGUCUUUGCUACGUUUGGGUGUUUUUUUUUUUUUAAUAGCAUCUCUAGGUAUACGUUUAUUUUUAGUUGUGCUAUUCAAAACUUGGGUCAGUUUCCAUCAGAUUCUAGAAAAUCCUUUUGCCACAUGACCCUUCCCCCAUUCUCUUGUCUUUCCUUCUGGAGCAUCUGAACGUGUCUGCCUUCUGCGUCUCCCGGCCUCUCCGACAAGGUUUUCAUCUUCCCUUCCCGUGCCACGGCCGACAGCCUCUCUGGUCCCGGCUUCCGCUCCAGCCAUUUGCCCUGUGGCUGCCCAGCGUCUCCUCAGCCGCCUUCUGGGCUCAUCUCGACGACUGCGUGUUAGCUCUCGGUGUGAGGCGUGAUCGCCACGUCUCCUUUAAUGGCUUCGGCCGUUUCUCACACGCUCACUUAAGACUUGGUGCCAGACUUCAGUCUUACUACUUCUGGCUCUCACCAAAAGCUGAGACUUUGUGAAGGUCCUGCUUAAGGACAUCCUGUUCCACGGCCCCAUAAGCGCUGAAGUGGGACUUGCACUCUUUUUAUGGCAAGGACGUGACGUGAGGAAGAAAAACGGAAUGCUACGGCCGACACCCGCACCUCUCACCCGGACACGCCGCCUACUGACACUUUCACAUGUUUGCUUUGUCCUCAUCACCUAGCCCGCAGAGGUGCCCGCGCACACGCUCCUUCCCUCACCCUCUGCCAGUGAGUUCCUCAGACACGUCAACGCUGUCCUCCCGAGGAGCUCCCUGUGCAGACACUUAGCCGUCAGGGACGGCACCGUGUCCACAGUGGGGUCUCCCGCACGGUCUCCAGGGGGUCCCGUCCGGCAUCCCAGCCCCAGGGUCUAGGGUCCCGGCAGGAAGCGCACACGGACCGCGGCAUCUGCCUCGUCUCCUCCUGGUGGGGCCGCGGCCUCCCUGGGGACGACCCUGCGAGGUCCCUGGGACCAUCCUAACCUGGUGCGUGAUCAUCUUCUACCUCGUUUCCGGCCAUCCUUCGCGGUAGCCACCCGCUCCUGCUGGACGACGGCCUCAAGGCCGAGCAGCGGACACGAGCCCCGUGACUGCCUUCCCCACGCACGGCGCUCGGGCACCACAGAGGCCGCCCCUGGGGUCAGAGCGGCCCUCCGCGCACACACCCGGGAAGGGCCGUCCUGGCGGGCGGGAGCCAACCCGUGAGCGUCCCGGAUGCACCUUCUUCCGUUCACCCCCACCGGCAAACGGGCGGUGUGGCCCCUGCCCCGAGGACAUCGGUCCCUCUGGCCGACGUAUCCUGCAAACUGCACACCUGGGCUGUGCGGCCGAAAACGUGUAACUCUCCUCGUCUUUUCUCCUCUUUUCACCGACCCUCGGUCCGGCCUGUUUGGUACUUUGUGCACGCACCAGCGGAUGCACGCGGCCCCAGGACGCCCUCACGCAGACAGGCCCUCAGGCAGCUGCCGGGAGACGCCGUGCCCCUCAGGAGAGAACGCAUAAACGUCUGAAGACCGGGCCACGCGGACAGGACCACAGACAGGCCUGUGGCCCCGGGGCACAGCGCAGCACACGGCCCGUGGGGAGCUGGCAGCACUACCUUGUCUAUGGUGAGCAUGUAGAAGUGUGUGAUGUCGUUCUCGUGUGCAUGUUUGAUCCUCGCCAUGCACUCCUCCUCGUCAAUCAGCUCACCGACGUACUCAUUCACGAACUCUCCCUGGAAGGCGGAACAGCAGACCGUGACCGUGGUGAACAACGGGGUCCGGGUGCAGGAGCCCGCGCCCGAAGCGCCCGGAGCCGGCACCGCACGCACGUCACGAUGCCGUCCGGGGCGCGUCUUCCCAAGUCCCUGGAAGUUCAGGUCUACCUCAACGACUCCAUACUCAGCUGUCAGGGAACAGUUCACCCGAGCGUCCUUCCCAAAGCGGCACCCUAACCCUCGCUUCCUGCAGCAACUGCCUCCGGGCACCCUGGCGGCACACCCCAAGCUCCCACACGGCCGGCUGCCACGGCUCGCCUUCCCUAGCAGAGUCUACACGGCGAGAGCCCGGAGGAACUGGCCGCCGAGGCGGGCAGUGGAACCGGACCCGCAGGGGCCGUGCGCGUUUCAGAGCCGCUGCUCUCACCCGGGAUCGGCCCUGAACCAGACCUGGGGUCUGAGGCCGCCGCCGCCCCCCAGGCCACAGCCUGGCCUCGUAAGCCAAUUCCGGCUGCCUCUCUACUUCCGGCUGCCCAGCCUGGGACACGGGCAGGCCGUGUGUGGCCUGUGGCCUUGACGGACGACCUGGUCCCACGCUGCCCCGGACGGAACGGCCGCCCAUCCAGGGCAGGGCUCCUUCACGGUCUUUCCUGUCACAGAGCGACCUCCAAAAUGCCAAGUGGAGGCCAAGUCAGGGGCCUGCUGAGUUUUACUUUGCUAGACAGCACGCACGUAACGUUUUACGACGUUCAACCGUAGUCACUCAGACUUUUUAAAAACCCCGUUCUUACGUGCGUGCAAAAGCGUACUAAGCAUAGCCAAGCGUAAACCGCCAGCCGGCCCAGGGUUUCCUGCGAGCAAGGAAAGGGGCUCGGCACACACCUUUCUGAUGUCCCGCUUGGCGACCAGGCCCCACCCUUUGCCGUCGGUCUUGAUGAUCUUGGUCUCGGGGUACUGGCGCUUGGUGAAGCACUGAUUCUGGCAGUACUCGCCCGCGGGGCACACCUGCGGGUGGCACUCGAACAUCAGCAUCCGGUUCAGACACUCCGAGUCGAAGCCGCAGGGGUUCUCGUCGGUGGGCUUACAGUUGCACUUGGGGAUCUCAGAGAUGUCGGCCGUGUGGAUCUGGACUUUCCCAUAGGGCUUGUUCACCUGCCGGGGACACGGGGGCGCGUCAGACGAGAGAGCAAGCACCCCGGCCUCCCGCCGGUCCCCACGCUCCAGAGGAGGGUGGCGGUGGGGGGGGGGGGGCAUGGUUCCCCCCCCCCCCCCGUCACUUCACGUCCCUCGUCCACGCUUGCCCCGCCAGGCUGCCGGAAGACAGGCGCACAAGCACGUGCUGAGCACGGGGCAGGGUCCCUGUAGCGGGGACCCGCAGGCGGGUGACCAGGGAGGCUCUGCCCUGGCACACUCGCGGUUCACGGUGACAGCACAAGAGCAACCCAACCACAGAGCCACAGACAGAGGGGAAGAGGGACUGAAGCCGAGGCCAGUAAGGCGAGGGGAAACGCGGCGGAACAAAGGCCUCCUCACUGCUGGGCCGCGACAGCGAAACACAGAAGCGCGAUCUGAAAACCCGCCUCAGGAGCCCUCAGGUCCCAAGCUGUUUGACCCAGGAGCUCCAUCUCCACGAAGUCAUCCCUGAGGAAACACUAGCCCCAGAGAACGUGUCACCUGCACACGCACACACAGGGCGCGCCGCCCGGAUCUGAGGAGCAAAGACGCGGCCUCGAGCGGCCAGAAGGCAGCUGACACACUGUGUCGAGAAGGCUGCCGGGACCCAGGCGGCAGGACACGGUGACAUCGGCUCACCCAGCGUGGCUGUGAGGAGCUCCUGGACCUCUCUCCCUCCCACCCCGUGGGGACGUGGGGACCCAGGUUCCCUGCCGGGACUGCCGGGCUCGCCGGAGGCAGCACGGCCACCCCCGCAGUCCUUGUGCGGCAUCCACACCCUCUACGGCGGGAACAUCGCUUUGUCUCCAGGGCUCCGGCUGACCAAGCCACGUUCCAGCCGAGCACCGGCCCGGGCCGGCCACCUCUCAUCCAAGCUCGUCCCCAGCACCGGGUGACGACGGCGUGCCCGCCACCACCCCCGCGCCUCACGGGCUCCCGGCUGGAGCCUCACACGAGGGCAAAACCCAAAACCGCGGAGCCCCCCCCCCCCAGCCCUGCCUGCACGCCCUCCCCGCCCCCCAGAAAGGACACACGCUGGGCAGUGGCUGCACCUGCUCUCUGCCCGUGACCUCAGGCAGCGGUCCACACGGGGGCUGCAGACAGACGCUUGCUCACGGCAGCCCUCUUACCCACCGCGGCCGGAGGGCCCACCCACGGUCCCCGCAGUGACCCCUGACCCGGCCCCCCACCCCCGUCACCUUAAUGUGCUUGUACGGCGGGGGCUUGCGCUCACUCUCCUGUGUUUCUCUGGCUUCCCUUUGAAGUUUGAUUUCACGAAAACGAGCUUCAGCUUCCUGCAGUGCUAAAAAGUCCACGAAAUGUGAGCGUGAGUAAGAGGUUUACUAAAUUCACACCUCCACCUACA